UUUAAAAAUUCAUGUCACUUACUUCGUCGGAUCAUUUACAUUCCAUCUGCUGUAAGUAUAAAAAGACGAGUCUACAUUACUUAAAAAGGGAUCAUUGAGACUAAAGAAAGAUGAGGCUCAACGAUAAUGGUUUAACGAGAAUGUCCGUUAUCCUGUACAUUUUGACACUCUUAACGCAAUUCGCUGUUUGUAAAGCAGAUUGCAAUUAUUAUCAAACACUAGAAGCGGGUCAGACGUAUUACGUAUACAACCCUGAAUAUCCUAACAAUUACACUGGCGAAAAUACCUGUGUUUGGCAGGCUGUCUCACAAGACCCAAUUAAAUUGAAUUGCACUGUAGACAUUCCUGCGAACACGAACUGCAACAAAGCUCACUUGAGUAUCAAAUUUAACGAAUCUAAAGAGGAAAAAUACUGUGGUAGUGGAACGUUAGUGUCAGAAGGAAAUAAUGUAACUAUUCGAUUUCGUUCGUCAAAAUCUUCUCCAGGCGGCAGAUUUCUGUGCGCACUCGAACUCGAAACAUCAAGGAAUUGCAAUUGUGGUUGGCGAAAAGUGCCCAGAAUAGUUGGUGGAAUGAAAACUGGUGUAAAUGAAUAUCCCAUGAUGGCUGGUCUUAUUGACUCAACACAAAGGGAAUUGUAUUGUGGAGCAACUAUCAUCAGUUCUCAGUUUGUUAUAACGGCUGCGCAUUGUGUAGAAAACAAAGACAUUUCUACAAUUGGAGUUGUAGUUGGCGAACACGAUGUCACGACAGGUUCCGAUACCAAUGCAACAAAGAUUUUUCGUAUAAGCAAUUGUAUUAUGCAUCCUCGAUAUGAGGCGGACCACAAUGAUGUUGCUGUUUGUAAGAUUAUCGGAGAUAUUCAGUUUAGCGCAGAGGUUGGACCAGUUUGCUUGCCUUUUCAACACAGACGUGAUAAUUUUUAUGAUGUUACUGUUACUGUAUUGGGCUGGGGUCUUUUGGAGUUCGGAGGUGCCAAGAGUUCAGUAUUACAAGAAACAAAUCUCAAAGUUAUCCCUAUGAAGAAAUGUCGGGAUUAUUAUCCAAAUGCUGAUAAAACACAUUUAUGUGCAUUUGCUUCUGGAAAAGGUGCUUGCCAGAUGGACUCUGGCGGGCCCAUAUUAUGGCACAACCCUGUGACAAGUAGAUCCGUUCUGGUUGGAAUUAUUUCUGGUGGUAUUGGCUGUGCGUCCGAUGCUCCAGAGCUCGGAGUUCGAACUGGACAUUAUGUUGACUGGAUAACGUCCGUGACACCAGGUGUUCAAUACUGCAAAAUAGAGUGAACGCUAACAAGUGGCAAAAAUCUAUAUGAGGAUGUUGCUGCACUCGACAUGUUUUCAACACUUUUACUCUUAAAAUUCACUUUAGGAGAAUCAGAAAAAAAUAAUUAAAAGAAUGAAAUGGAA